GAGCGAACGCUGGCGGCAGGCUUAACACAUGCAAGUCGAGCGGGCAUAGCAAUAUGUCAGCGGCAGACGGGUGAGUAACGCGUGGGAACGUACCUUUUGGUUCGGAACAACACAGGGAAACUUGUGCUAAUACCGGAUAAGCCCUUACGGGGAAAGAUUUAUCGCCGAAAGAUCGGCCCGCGUCUGAUUAGCUAGUUGGUGGGGUAAUGGCCCACCAAGGCGACGAUCAGUAGCUGGUCUGAGAGGAUGAUCAGCCACAUUGGGACUGAGACACGGCCCAAACUCCUACGGGAGGCAGCAGUGGGGAAUAUUGGACAAUGGGCGCAAGCCUGAUCCAGCCAUGCCGCGUGAGUGAUGAAGGCCCUAGGGUUGUAAAGCUCUUUUGUGCGGGAAGAUAAUGACGGUACCGCAAGAAUAAGCCCCGGCUAACUUCGUGCCAGCAGCCGCGGUAAUACGAAGGGGGCUAGCGUUGCUCGGAAUCACUGGGCGUAAAGGGUGCGUAGGCGGGUCUUUAAGUCAGGGGUGAAAUCCUGGAGCUC
rnacentral:rRNA from 1 species